rnacentral:rRNA from 1 species
GGUGACGCGAGUGGUCUGCCGCUUAUGACGUCACAAGAAGUCCACUGAACCUUAUCAUUUAGAGAAAUGUGAAGUCAUAACAAGGUUUCCGUAGGUGAACCUGCGGAAGGAUCAUUG